rnacentral:snRNA from 1 species
AUCGCUUCUCGGCCUUUUGGCUAAGAUCAAGUGUAGUAUCUGUUCUUAUCAGUUUAAUAUCUGAUACGUCCUCUAUCCGAGGACAUAAUAAAAAAAAAAAAGAAAAUCUCAU